UGGGGAUUGGUCCAGCGGUAGGACGCCGGUCUCUGGAACCGGAAGCCCCAGUUCGAUCCUGGGAUCCCCAGCCA
rnacentral:tRNA from 1 species